CGGACAGAUUUGCAGGGCCCAAAUAGGCAAAGCCCAAUAGAGUUGGCCCACACCCAAAGGAGGAAAUAUGACCACAUGGGAUCCGAGCUUACUGGCCCAUUUCAUCGGAUCUUUAUAAAUGACCCAAAACAUUAAGCCCACAGGUGUAAGGCCCAAAGAUAAUAAUACAUUGUUAGUAAAGACGACUAGAUGACCCUCGACGAGCUGAAGACCUCUAAGCGAGCCGAAGGUAGCUCACGAGUGUCGUGCGUCGAAUGACGAGUGACAAUACGCCGAGUGCCGAGUGUCGAGCGACGAGUUGUCGAGUACCGAGCGCCGAAUGCCAAAUGCCGAGUGCCGAGGGCCGAGCGAAAAGUAACAGACGUGUCGAGUGACGAGCUGCCGAGUACUGAGCGUCUAGUGAUGGACGACGAGCUGAAGGUGCCACCUCAUGACUUAAACACUAAGGCAUAUGAAAUAUCUUUAUUACUUAACCACUAAGACUCUCAUAAAGUGUCAUGGACAUCAAACGACUCUAUUAACCGAAUUAGAUAAAAUGAGUGACAUCCGAAAAUUCUCUUCUAUAAAUAGAGGGUUCAUCACCCUCAAGGUAAGUAUCUUUUGAUCUUAACACACUAUUUUCUCUCAAAUAUAUUUAUCUCCGAAUCUUUGAGGUGUUCUAACUUGGGCGUCGGAGUGCUAACGCCGGGAGCACCUCUCCCGGCCCCUUUUGCAGGUCUGCGGCGAACAAACCCAAUACGGAAUGGGCUCGAAGAUUCGAAUUCCAUGAAGCGGUCAACCCAGCCGCAUCAAUUGGCGCCGUCUGUGGGAAAAUCGAGUUAUAAGACGUCGAUUUUUCAAUCAUACACAAUAUUCAAGGCAAAAUUCGUAGGUUCAAUCACAACUAUGGUGUUCCCAUGUUCUGCUAAGAUUAGAAUGAAGGCAUCUUUUUCGUUAUUUCCAUUCUUCAACCUUUUUCCCACUGGUUUUUUAUUGGCCAUAUUAUUUCUAAAAAUAAAUAAUAAAUAGUGAAAAGUAACCCCUGUUCGGCUCAUGGGUUACCGAUGCAUGGCCGAGGUGGCCUCGCUCACGCGAAUCCGACUAGCAAUCUUUUACCAAUUCCUUGAAACCCUGCUCCUCCACUUUAAGUUUCCGGUCAAUACACCGCCCAUGGACGCUCCUUGGGUUUCCCAAAAGAAAUGGGCAAAAUGGAAGGAGAGGCUUGGAUCGGCAGGCAGGAUUCUUCGGAGCAAACUCAAUGAUUGGUUGACUGAUCGAUAGCCAGAUGAUGUGGGAACCGACUCGACUCGAGCAAUAGACGUGAGGAAACCAAAGUUGUAUGAGUCUGCUAUCUCUUCAAGCGGAGGAGUACAGAUUCACCACAGCCUGAUAAAGAGGUUAGAUGAAUAGAAAGGCCCGAGCAGGCUCAUUAGCAAAACCCAGUGUGUAACACCGAGUAAAUUAUGCGAGAGUUUAUUGUACUUUAUAAUGGGAAUUGGGGGCUGAUGUGUUAUUAUGUAAUAAUUUUGGGGCAUAAGCAUAAUAAUAAUUCUAUAAUUUAGUAACUUGGUCAUUAAGCAAUUGAGGGGCUUGUGUAAUCGGAUAAUUGAAUGUUAUUAACCAAGAAAAUUAGAGAGAGAGACACGUAGAAUAAAAGAUGAGUCAGACUUCCUCUUCAUCUUCAUCCGAUUCUUCCUACACUUCACUCCUCUUCUCCAAACUCCUUUCUCUCUCUCGCUCUCUCUCAUCAUCUCUCUCUUCCUCUCUCUCUCGAUCCUUGGCUGAAAUCAUGGAAGUUAAUUGAAGAAAAAAAAGUCGGAUUUAUAGUGGUGGUGGUCUCCAGCAGCAGUCGCCGGCGGUGGUGGCUGGAAUCCGACAAAGAAGACGAGCUGUCCAGAAUUUCAAUUUCAGAGUUUUGCCUUUUCCGUAAAUCAAUUAAACGGAGGUCUUAAAGUUGGAGCAUCGAUGAUCCGAAGGUACCGUUCGAAACCUUAAUAAGUUAGAUUUCCAGUGGUGGUGGUUCUUGAUUGUUUACAUCAGCGGUGGUCAUCGGAAUUGGCUAGAACUUCAGCUCGCUCGUUGAAACGAAGGGAAGCAAAUUCUGCUGCCGCACCUGUUUUCGGAGCCGAAAUCGAAGGGUUUCGAAUGCGAAUUUCGAAUCGGUUCCUUCAGGAAACUCAUAGAGGACAUCGUAAACUAUAAGUAAAAGAAAGACUUAGACCUAAAUUUUCAUACUAAGAGUUAAAGCUCGUGUAUGCCUCCGAUUAGUCUCGUCGAGAGGUAUCUCUAUUUAUGUUCCGUAUAGGAAUCCUUUGAUCGAGAAUUUUGUAAUAGAGUAAGUGGUGUCGAAGUCGACUUGUAAUAGAACCUCCUUUUGUAAACACGAUGGGAUAGAUAUUGCGGGUUAAUGUUUUGAUUAUCGAAAUUUUGAGGAGCA